CUUGCAAACUAAAGAUGGCGACCGGCGCACGGGUGAGUAACACGUAUCCAACCUGCCGAUAACUCGGGGAUAGCCUUUCGAAAGAAAGAUUAAUAUCCGAUAGUAUAUUAAAACCGCAUGGUUUUACUAUUAAAGAAUUUCGGUUAUCGAUGGAGAUGCGUUCCAUUAGUUUGUUGGCGGGGUAACGGCCCACCAAGACUACGAUGGAUAGGGGUUCUGAGAGGAAGGUCCCCCACAUUGGAACUGAGACACGGUCCAA
rnacentral:rRNA from 1 species